rnacentral:rRNA from 1 species
UACAGAGGGAGCGAGCGUUGUCCGGAAUCACUGGGCGUAAAGGGCGCGUAGGUGGCGCUCCAAGUCCAUGGUGAAAGCUCGAUGCUCAACAUCGAGUCGGCCACGGAUACUGGAGGGCUGGAGCACUGUAGGGGCAGAUGGAAUUCCGGGUGUAGCGGUGGAAUGCGUAGAGAUCCGGAAGAACACCGGUGGCGAAGGCGGUCUGCUGGGCAGUUGCUGACACUGAGGCGCGACAGCGUGGGGAGCAAACAGG